UAAGGAAUAUUGGGCAAUGGACGCAAGUCUGACCCAGCCAUGCCGCGUGAAGGAUGACGGCCCUACGGGUUGUAAACUUCUUUUGUACGGGAAAAAACCCCUGGUCGUGUACCGGGGCUGAUGGUACCGUAAGAAUAAGCAUCGGCUAACUCCGUGCCAGCAGCCGCGGUAAUACGGAGGAUGCAAGCGUUAUCCGGAUUCAUUGGGUUUAAAGGGUGCGUAGGCGGGAUAAUAAGUCAGUGGUGAAAUCCUGCAGCUUAACUGCAGAACUGCCAUUGAUACUGUUAACCUUGAGUACAUUUGAAGUGGGCGGAAUGUGUCAUGUAGCGGUGAAAUGCUUAGAUAUGACACAGAACUCCGAUAGCGAAGGCAGCUCACUAAACUGUAACUGACGCUGAGGCACGAAAGCGUGGGGAUCAAACAGG
rnacentral:rRNA from 1 species